ACAGCUUGAAGAUCCUUUGAGGGGAAACAGAAACCUCAUUCAUUAACAAUGACAUUAUUUCACCUCUGGUUAAGAGUAGGGAUUCUGUUCCCCCCGAUGGACAGGCACA